CAAUUGGAGUUGGUUGAAAUCUUAGAGCAUUCAGUUAGUAACUUAUUAUUUGGGGUACACAUCUGUCUGUCUACACCUACUAUAUCACUGUUUAAAUUGUAAUGACUUGUCUCUCUAUUACAAAUAUUCCUUGUAGUUUGCAAAUAUGUUUUGGUUUGAAGUUAUGGGUGAUUCCGCAUGUGUUUUCUUCUCAAAACACAGAACCAAUGAAAACCUAAUGAAACCUUUAAAAAUGUGACUUUCUAGAUGUGUGCUAGUAGAUUUGAGAGAAUACUAAAUUUGGUGUCUUUUAAGAAGCAGCUAUUUUCCGCUUUCCGUGUAUGCCCUUUCUGUGAACCCAGUGAAUAUAAAGAUGAAAUGUAAAAGAGAUAAUGGUCUUCAGGCAGAGCAGAGAAUGUUCUAUUCUUGGUGGAGUUUGGAAAUAUCUAGGGAAUUUGAUUUUCUUUUUAAGAGCAAAGAGGCUAUGAGACUGAGUCAUGCUCCCUUACAUCCUUGGUUCUAGGAGGAAAGCGAAUAUGUGUCAGGGCUGCAAGGAGAAUCAACUUUCUUCAGGGCUGCUUGCAAACUUGCUGGUAAUGAGCAAACGAGCUGCGUGCUUUUGUCAGGCUUUGGAAAAGAUUGUAAUAGCAGAAUAUUAUGUGAGAAUCAUUAAGGAUUUGAGAUGAACUCAGAAGAGCAGUCCAAGUUACCUCCAUUUUCUUGAGACCACAUAAGGCAGAUCUACAUUAUAUUGAUCCAAAUAAAAAAAUCAAAAGUAUGUGUUUUCCCUUGUUUAUGAACAUUAAAAAAUAAAAAGAUGGAUUGUCUGACAUGCUAUGAACAUCUCACACUUAUUUUUGUAAGCUCUAAGUUAGGAAAACUUUAACUUUUUUUUUUUACAGACUUCUUGGCAUGUCACCAGGAAUUGCUGAGUGGCAACCAAAUUGUUUUGCUUUUAGAAAAGUAAGAGACUCUUCCAGCUUUUCAUCUUGUACCUGGUGAAAAACCCAACAGCAUGAGAUGAAAGCCAGACUUAAACGUGGCUUUGUUCAAACUGUUGGAAUCAACAUUGUCAACUUUUACCCUGACAACUUGCUUACUUUCUACUAAACAAACUUACCCUAGAGAAGAGCCUCUUUCCUGCUCUCACUUCUACUAAGCUGCUUCAAAGAGUCCUCAGGCAUUUUCCACAUUUUUCACCCAAAUGCCUGUGCAGAGGUGGUACCUUACUGCAGACAGAGCAUUUUGCAUGUCCUGGUUUGUUUACAUGAAAGUUCAAAAGGUUUUGGUUCCAGGUGUUGGGAAGAGAUGGAGCCGUUUCAGUUUAACACCAAUGGUAAAACUAUUUUAAUUUCCUUUAACUAAGUCUUUGAUUUUACACAGUGUGGUUUUCUAAUUGUUAUGAAGUUUAAUCCUUGAUUUCUUGUAUAAAUCUUGAGAACAUGGUCUCCAGACAGCUAAACAUAAUAUUUAAACAUAACUAAACUAACUUUUGUAAAUAUUUCCCUUUUCAGUGAUGAAUGUAUAUUGGUAAGAAGGGUGAGGUUGAAGGGGCAGGGACCUCUCAAAUGAAGUGACUUUCUUUACCAACACAUUCAGAACACAUACUCCAGGAUUUCUUUCUGUAUAAGUCUGGCAUAACACUUGAAAUAUCUGCAAUGAAAGUAUUUAUGUGGGAACACAAUGAGGAAACUGGGCCUCUACAAUCUCAGAAAGGAUCACUUUUUACAUCUUUCUCCUCUACCCACCAGUUAUUUAUAGAAUUUCAUAUGUAUGGGUAUAUAGUAAUUGUUUUCUGGUCAGUUACUGGUAUAUCCUUUAUUUUAAAAAUGGGACAACUAAAAUAUUGGUAUAGUAACAAAAAUUAAGUGAUCGAGUGUUGAUGGUUAAAAGCAUGUUAAAAAUGAUAGUUGUUGAGUUCCACCUCACAAGCAAGUCCUCAUUCUUUGAUGUUCCACUGUUACCUGAUGAGCCUGUCAGCUGUUGGUGGGAGAGGCAUGGCUUCAUAUUCUACAUUACAGCUAAUGAUCACUCUUAAAUAGCCACUCCUUUACUCCAGAUAAGGGCAAAUUGUAUUCUAGCUUUGAAGGUCUUUUAACCAUUUAAUAAAAGAAAACAACUCUAUAAUUGUUAGGGAUAGCCCAGUUAAUGGAAAUAAUAAAAACUAAUAAAAUUUAAUGUA